AGAUAAAUCAUUUUUACUGAUGAUUUUUGUUCAGUGCAUCGUGUCUUGUAAACAAUUUAUCACUUCCGGUGUUACUUCACAACAUGUGGAGGCAAAUUUACGAUGUUGUUUAUCAUACAAUAUGCAGCUGUCAUCAAAGAAAUUCUAGUUGUGUUCUUUACUAAUGUUACUCUAAAGACACAACUAAAGCUAAGUUUGGGUCACAGAGAUGUAAAAUAUCAUUUGAAAUUAGCUUUUGGACUGAAAAGUAUCGCUCCGUACAAAUUACUACAAUCGAGAAAUAACAACUGAAGAAAGCAGACUUGUUUAUAGUGUUAUCCCACAGAGAAUGGAUGUUUACUACUUACAUUACACUCCGAGUUUAUACACCAUCCUUUCACAAACUUGGUAUAGAGUUUCAAUAGGGUAAUUAAAAGUUACAAAUGGAAACUUGAC
rnacentral:lncRNA from 1 species